CACCGCGUACGAUAAUGUAUAGUUGCUGGAAGUGCUGCGGCUGCAUACCAGCACGGCAUGUGUGUGCGUGUGCGUGUUCCACCUUGUGCCGAUGAUCGCAUCGGUUGGUGCGCCGCUUGGUGAUGUACUUCGAUCCCCUCCCCCCUCCACACACACGCACACCAAGGGUCGUCAAUGACGCCGGCAUGACCGCUAUCAGCGUUCCUCUCUCUCACGCCCACCAUCCGCGUCACCGGUAUCGAAGCGCAUACACACAUGUACAUGUAGACAUACGUCACAGCCAGG
rnacentral:misc_RNA from 1 species